rnacentral:rRNA from 1 species
AUACGGAGGGUGCAAGCGUUAUUCGGAAUCACUGGGCGUAAAGGACGCGUAGGCGGGUUGGCAAGUCAGAUGUGAAAUCCUACAGCUUAACUGUAGAACUGCAUUUGAAACUGCUAACCUAGAGUAUGGGAGGGGGAGAUGGAAUUAGUGGUGUAGGGGUAAAAUCCGUAGAUAUCACUAGGAAUACCGAAAGCGAAGGCGAUCUCCUGGAACACUACUGACGCUGAGGCGCGAAAGCGUGGGGAGCAAACGGGAUUAGAUACCCCAGUAGUCC